UAAGCGGAGGAAAAGAAACUAACAAGGAUUCCCCUAGUAACUGCGAGUGAAGCGGGAAAAGCUCAAAUUUAAAAUCUGGCGGUCUUUGGCCGUCCGAGUUGUAAUUUAGAGAAGCGUCUUCCGCGCCGACCGUGCACAAGUCUCCUGGAAUGGAGCGUCAUAGAGGGUGAGAAUCCCGUCUUUGGCACGGAUGCCCGGUGCUUCUGUGAUGCGCUCUCGAAGAGUCGAGUUGUUUGGGAAUGCAGCUCAAAAUGGGUGGUGAACUCCAUCUAAAGCUAAAUAUUGGCGAGAGACCGAUAGCGAACAAGUACCGUGAGGGAAAGAUGAAGAGCACUUUGGAAAGAGAGUGAAACAGUACGUGAAAUUGUUGAAAGGGAAACGCUUGAAGUCAGUCGCGUCGACCGAGACUCAGCCUUGCCUCGGCUUGGUGUACUUCUCGGCCCGACGGGUCAGCGUCAAUUUUGCUCCUCGGAUAAUGGCAAGGGAAAGGUGGCACCUUUACGGGUGUGUUAUAGUCUCCUGUCGCAUGCGAGGGUUGGGAUUGAGGAACUCAGCGCGCACCUUGGUGUCGGGGCUUCGGCCCACGUCACGCGCUUAGGAUGCUGGCGUAAUGGCUUUAAACGACC
rnacentral:rRNA from 1 species